rnacentral:rRNA from 1 species
AUUGAACGCUGGCGGCAUGCCUUACACAUGCAAGUCGAACGGCAGCACGGGCUUCGGUCUGGUGGCGAGUGGCGAACGGGUGAGUAAUAUAUCGGAACAUACCCUAGAGUGGGGGAUAACGUAGCGAAAGUUACGCUAAUACCGCAUACGAACUAAGGUUGAAAGUGGGGGAUCGCAAGACCUCAUGCUCAUGGAGUGGCCGAUAUCUGAUUAGCUAGUUGGUGAGGUAAAGGCUCACCAAGGCGACGAUCAGUAGCUGGUUUGAGAGAACGACCAGCCACACUGGAACUGAGACACGGUCCAGACUCCUACGGAGGCAGCAGUGGGGAAUUUUGGACAAUGGGCGCAAGCCUGAUCCAGCAAUGCCGCGUGAGUGAAGAAGGCC